CCGCCACUGAUCGAAACUAGUUCUGAUCGUAUAUAUGUCGCACAUAUGUAAAUAUACUGGUCAAAAUCUGGUUUUUUGCAAUGAAGUUGCUCAACAUUUAUUUAUUUACGCUGUGUUUUUUAAUGGGAUUUAUUUCCUGGAUUAACGCGACGCCGUAUAAUUAUUAUCAAACUGCAAAUGUGGGCAGAUUUGGAGGCAGCAUCUUUGGCGAAGGCGUACUACGGCCUGGCAGUGAUACAGGAGAAGGCAUUUUUUCGGAGCUAGAUGCGCCCAGCUAUAGUCCACCCUCCAAUCAAUAUAAUGCAUACCGUUAUCAGUAGAUCAUCUUAGAUCAUUCAGAUUUGCAAUCCGCGUUGUGAUUCGGUUCAUGAACCUUGUUUGCUGCGCGUCACAUUAUAACAUUAAUAUGUUGACAUGACAUUUCAUCAAGGACUGUUAACUAUAACAUUUAUUAUUUAAGCAUUAAUUAAUAUGCAAAGCUUGCAGGAGCUCGUGUGCACUUAGCAUGGGCAUCAACCCACAUUGUAUAAUAGAAGCUUUACGAUAUACAUUAAUUUACAAAUUAAAACACAUAAAUUGUAUAAAGCAUGAAAAAAGUUGUUGUUCUUGGGCUCAAAGUCUGUUAACAAUCAAAUUACUAAUUGUAACAUGAAUGAAAGUUCAGACUCAUAUUUUUAAAUGCUGUUAGUAAAUGAAGUACCUUAGCAUAUACUUAGCAUAGACAGCAACCCAAAGUGCAUAUAAGAAGCUUUACGAAAUGUCUAAUACAUUUAUAAACUUGAAAUUUUAUUUUUAAAAAAUUUUCAUUUUCUUUUUUAUUAAA